UAGGGAAUAUUGGUCAAUGGAUGAAAGUCUGAACCAGCCAUGCCGCGUGCAGGAAGAAGGCGUUAUGCGUUGUAAACUGCUUUUGCCAGGGGAUAGAAUGAGCGUGCGCGCUUAAUUGAAGGUACCGGGUGAAUAAGCCACGGCUAACUACGUGCCAGCAGCCGCGGUAAUACGUAGGUGGCAAGCGUUGUCCGGAUUUAUUGGGUUUAAAGGGUGCGUAGGUGGCCCUGUAAGUCAGUGGUGAAAUAUCUCAGCUUAACUGAGAGGGUGCCAUUGAUACUGCAGGGCUUGAGUACAGAUGAGGUAGGCGGAAUUGACGGUGUAGCGGUGAAAUGCAUAGAUAUCGUCAAGAACACCGAUAGCGAAGGCAGCUUACCAAGCUGUAACUGACACUGAGGCACGAAAGUGUGGGGAUCAAAC
rnacentral:rRNA from 1 species